UGGGGAAUAUUGCACAAUGGGCGCAAGCCUGAUGCAGCCAUGCCGCGUGUGUGAAGAAGGCCUUCGGGUUGUAAAGCACUUUCAGCGAGGAGGAAGGUGGUGAGCUUAAUACGCUCAUCAAUUGACGUUACUCGCAGAAGAAGCACCGGCUAACUCCGUGCCAGCAGCCGCGGUAAUACGGAGGGUGCAAGCGUUAAUCGGAAUUACUGGGCGUAAAGCGCACGCAGGCGGUUUGUUAAGUCAGAUGUGAAAUCCCCGGGCUCAACCUGGGAACUGCAUUUGAAACUGGCAAGCUAGAGUCUCGUAGAGGGGGGUAGAAUUCCAGGUGUAGCGGUGAAAUGCGUAGAGAUCUGGAGGAAUACCGGUGGCGAAGGCGGCCCCCUGGACGAAGACUGACGCUCAGGUGCGAAAGCGUGGGGCAGCAAACAGGAUUAGAUACCCUGGUAGUCCACGCUGUAAACGAUGUCGAUUUGGAGGUUGUGCCCUUGAGGCGUGGCUUCCGGAGCUAACGCGUUAAAUCGACCGCCUGGGGAGUACGGCCGCAAGGUUAAAACUCAAAG
rnacentral:rRNA from 1 species